UGGGGAAUAUUGCGCAAUGGGCGAAAGCCUGACGCAGCGACGCCGCGUGGGGGAUGAAGCUUUUCGGAGUGUAAACCCCUUUCGACCCGGACGAAUGACCCGCAAGGGUUUGACGGUACGGGUAUAAGAAGCCCCGGCUAACUACGUGCCAGCAGCCGCGGUAAUACGUAGGGGGCCAGCGUUGCUCGGAAUUACUGGGCGUAAAGGGUUCGUAGGUGGUGCGGCAAGUUGGAAGUGAAAUCUCUGGGCUUAACCCAGAGGCUGCUUUCAAAACUGCCGUGCUCGAGUGCGAGAGAGGUCAGUGGAAUUGCAGGUGUAGCGGUGAAAUGCGUAGAUAUCUGCAGGAACACCCGUGGCGAAGGCGGCUGACUGGAUCGCAACUGACACUGAGGAACGAAAGCUAGGGGAGCAAACAGGAUUAGAUACCCCCGUAGUCC
rnacentral:rRNA from 1 species